rnacentral:rRNA from 1 species
ACGUAGUCGGCGGACGGGUGGAGUAACACGUGGGUAACCUACCUAUAAGACUGGGAUAACUUCGGGAAACCGGAGCUAAUGCCGGAUAAUAUUUCGAACCGCAUGGUUCGAUAGUGAAAGGUGGUUUUGCUAUCACUUAUAGAUGGACCCGCGCCGUAUUAGCUAGUUGGUAAGGUAACGGCUUACCAAGGCGACGAUACGUAGCCGACCUGAGAGGGUGAUCGGCCACACUGGAACUGAGACACGGUCCAGACUCCUACGGGAGGCAGCAGGU